AGAGAGAGACAUGCGCGCAUAUCAAUAAGCGGAGGAAAAGAAACUAACAAGGAUUCCCCUAGUAACGGCGAGUGAAGCGGGAAGAGCUCAAAUUUGAAAUCUUAAAGGGUUUCCCUUUACGAAUUGUAGUUUAAAGAAGUGUUUUCUGUUGAGGUUUUGGUAAAAGUUCUUUGGAAUAGGACAUCAUAGAGGGUGAGAAUCCCGUAUUUGACCUUUACUUUCAACUUUGUGAUACACUUUCAAAGAGUCGGAUUGUUUGGGAAUGCAGUCCAAAAUGGGUGGUAAAUUUCAUCUAAAGCUAAAUAUUGGCGAGAGACCGAUAGCGAACAAGUACCGUGAGGGAAGAUGAAAAGAACUUUGAAAAGAGAGUUAAACAGUACGUGAAAUUGUCAAAAGGGAAGCGUUUGACACCAGUGUUGUUUUUCUGAAAAUCAAUUAAAGAACUGUUUAUGCUAAGCUGUUUAGACUUUAUCAGCUAUCUGUUUAGUUUUGAGCUUUUCUUUAAUGCACUUUUCAGUUAACAAGUCAACAUCAAUUUCUUUUGCUGUAAAAAAGCUUGAGGAAGGUGGCUUGAGAUUCGUCUUAAGUGUUUAUAGCCUCUUGCCUAUGCAGUCGGAGAGAUUGAGGUCUGCAGCGUAGAUCCUUCGGGGCUAAAUGCAUUUGUGCUAAGUUAUAGCAUUUUAUAGACAACUUGUUGACUAUGAUUUGUCUUGUAGCUUACUCGCUUAUGUUAUUUUACCUACGCUUAGGAUGUUGACGCAUGAGAUAUACGC
rnacentral:rRNA from 1 species